AUUGAACGCUGGCGGCAUGCUUUACACAUGCAAGUCGAACGGUAACAGGGAGCUUGCUCCGCUGACGCGUGGCGAACGGGUGAGUAAUAUAUCGGAACGUACCCACGAGUGGGGGAUAACGUAGCGAAAGUUACGCUAAUACCGCCUACGAUCUAAGGAUGCAAGCAGGGGACCUUCGGGCCUUGUGGUCCUGGAGCGGCCGAUAUCUGAUUGGCUAGUUGGUGAGGUAAAGGCUCACCAAGGCGACGAUCAGUAGCUGGUCUGAGAGGACGACCAGCCACACUGGAACGGAGACACGGUCCAGACUCCUACGGGAGGCAGCAGUGGGGAAUUUUGGGCAAUGGGCGCAAGCCUGAUCCAGCAAUGCCGCGUGAGUGAAGAAGGCCUUCGGGUUGUAAAGCUCUUUUGUCAGGGAAGAAACGGGAUUGGCUAAUAUCCAGUCCUAAUGACGGUACCUGAAGAAUAAGCACCGGCUAACUACGUG
rnacentral:rRNA from 1 species